UACGUAGGGGGCGAGCGUUGUCCGGAAUUAUUGGGCGUAAAGCGCGCGCAGGCGGUUCUUUAAGUCUGAUGUGAAAGCCCACGGCUCAACCGUGGAGGGUCAUUGGAAACUGGGGAACUUGAGUGCAGAAGAGAAAAGCGGAAUUCCACGUGUAGCGGUGAAAUGCGUAGAGAUGUGGAGGAACACCAGUGGCGAAGGCGGCUUUUUGGUCUGUAACUGACGCUGAGGCGCGAAAGCGUGGGGAGCAAACAGG
rnacentral:rRNA from 1 species